GAAAUACUCCCUCCGUCCAGAAAUACUUGUUAGAGAAAUGGGUGUAUCUAGACAUAUUUUAGUUCUACAUAUAUUUAUUUUUAUUCAUUUCUUUGACAAGUAUUUUAGGGUGGAGGGAGUAUAAG
rnacentral:pre_miRNA from 2 species